UACGGAAGGCAGCAGUGGGGAAUAUUGCACAAUGGGCGAAAGCCUGAUGCAGCUAUGCCGCGUGUAUGAAGAAGGCCUUAGGGUUGUAAAGUACUUUCAUCGGGGAGGAAAAAACAAAACUAAUAAUUUUAUUUCUUGACGUUACCCGAAAAAGAAGCACCGGCUAACUCCGUGCCAGCAGCCGCGGUAAUACGGAGGGUGCUAGCGUUAAUCAGAAUUACUGGGCGUAAAGAGCACGUAGGUGGUUUUUUAAGUCAGAUGUGAAAUCCCUGGGCUUAACCUAGGAACUGCAUUUUGAAACUGAAAUACUAGAGUAUCGUAGAGGGAGGUAGAAUUCUAGGUGUAGCGGUGAAAUGCGUAGAUAUCUGGAGGAAUACCUGUGGCGAAAGCGGCCUCCUAAACGAAUACUGACACUGAGGUGCGAAAGCGUGGGGAGCAAACAGGGAUUAGAUA
rnacentral:rRNA from 1 species